rnacentral:lncRNA from 1 species
UUCUCUGUGCUUUGUGAAUAAAAGGAGUCAACACAACGAGAGCUGUUCGGGUUACUUCCCAACGAGGGCUUACAAAUUUGAUAGUGCAUAUAACGAGACAUUUAGUAAUAUUCAUUAAGUCUACUCAAUUAACAAAAAAAUGCUAAACAAAUGUAAUAUAAACUUAAGUAAAUGCUAACGGGGAGCUGGAGCGGCAUUAUACAAAGGACCGAUAGCUGGCCCAUUAGUAGAAGGAUGAUCGAAUGCACGAAAGGUUUCAUAAGUGCUGUUGAAUGGCAGAGCAGCCAAGUGUUGCCAAUUAUCAGUAACUAAAGGAAAGGAGAAGAAAGAAGGGAGAGUCUGAAAAGAGACCAAAAAUUGUGAAGCAAGACGAGAAAUAAAAAAAGAUCCAAAACUUUCAGUAAAAUAGGCAUCUAUGUAGUCAACAGCAGAAGACGCCAGAUACGCAGUAUAAUACUUUAGGAAAUCUUUUUUCACCAAAUGCUCAAAGGCAGACUUUAAAGUGUAGGUAGAGACGGAAAAUGGAUCAGGAAUUGCAUUUUUAAGAAGAGAUUCUUCAAUAAUGUAGAGAAGCUCUUUAAGAGAAAUACCCUCAUCGUCAACUAUGGUACAAAAAACACUAGGCAAGGUAGGGAUUGGAUUAAUACUAGUAUCCUCUGUUGUAAAACAAGCAGCAGUAGCAAAACAAUCAAUGAGAACCUCUUGAAUAUUAAGACUGAGACCAACGGCUAGAUUAGCAAGUGGUGUACAACUAUCGUAACACAGACCUUUGAUAUAUUCAGGGUUGCGACUUAAAGUUUGCCAAACUAACUCAUGGAGGUUGUAGCGUGCAUCAUGAACAAGCCUAUCUCCAUAGAAUAGUACAAAUGGUUCAAUAAACUUUGGAUGACCUAUGUGAGUUUUGUAUGUGGAUACAUCGAUUUCGUAUGUAUCUAGACCUUUGUGUGUCUGCGGUACUAAUAACGGAAUGGCUUUGUCAAAAAAAUCAACAAAAUCGUCGUCUUUGUACUUUCCAUACAAACAUCCUAACAGUAAAAGAGGUACAGCGUUUAUACGGUUCUUUUCAUCAACUGGUCGAAAUCGUGUGUGAUUAGCACGAAACAAAGGAACAAUUCUCUUCCUCCUAACUUCUAUUGGCGUUUUAGGUGUCGAAAGAAUGGCUCCCAUUUUUGAGUCAAAAAAUUUAAAUCAACUAUUUUUAUGCUUUUUUCAGGCCUAGAGACGAUCGUUAAAUGCAGUUCAUCUAACCCUAUAGUGAAACACAACGAGCUAGGGGGUACAGAAGAUAAUAAGAGGAAUUUAUAUGUAAUUGGUAGAGGUAUUUGAUGGUUUAUCAUUUUCAUGAAUUGAUAGAUAGUUAUAUCAGUAAUGUAAAGUCAUUACUUAGAGCAAUGGUUUAGCUAAAGACCAUUCACCUUUGAUAAACGUCAAGUCGAGUAUGAAUACAUCUAAAGCCUUCUUCAUUUUUUCUAGUAAUUGAAGAAGCUUUUACGAUAAAUUUGUUUGAUGUGCAAUUAACAUAAAUCGCUUUAAUUGUUUAAAAGUGCAUGACAAGAAAGGAGUGUAUGCGACAAGUGUUGAAACCUCGCACUCAUAGUUGCAUA